rnacentral:rRNA from 1 species
GGCUCAGAAUCGAAUGCUGGCGGCAGGCUUAACACAUGCAAGUCGAUGCGCCCCGCAAUGGGAGCGGCAGACGGGUGAGUAACACGUGGGAACGUGCCUUUUGGUUCGGAACAACCCAGGGAAACUUGGGCUAAUACCGGAUAAGCCCUUACGGGGAAAGAUUUAUCGCCAAAAGAUCGGCCCGCGUCUGAUUAGCUAGUUGGUGGGGUAAUUUCCCACCAAGGCUAGGAGAAAGUAGCUGGUCUGAGAGGAUGAUCAGCCACAUUG